GGCUUGCCGCGAGAUUUCAUGGGCCUGGAUGGGCUUAUUCACAACAUGAUCUGGAAAAAGUUCUGGAAUUUUGGGCUGCUCGAAAGAAGAUGGACACCCGAAAAAAGCCCGACGACGAAAAAAGCAUCCAGUUCCAACAUAAUUAGGCCCACUAAGCCCAUCCAUGCCCAUUGCAUUAGUAUGAAACAAGCCUUUCAUUUCACUAGCAUAAAUAUCUGCCUCAUUGAGCUCAUGAAAACAUUGAGGAAAUUGAACGAAGGCUAAUUUGGGCCACAAUGUUUGGUCCAAGAAGUAACACAAAGCCCGUUGAGGUGUCGAUGGAUCAUUGGAGUACAUGUCACAAUCCAAUGUCAAUAUUAUUGGUGCAUUUGUCAUAAUUCCCGAUACUCGAAGCUAUCACAAGAAGAAAUUAAUCGUAUUCAGUACAAUAACAAUAACAUAUUCAGUGUAAGUGGGGUCUGAGGAGGUUAUUUCCGAUAUACACUCUGCUCGAUCAAGACAAAAACAGUGUAGAAAAAAGACGUAAUGGAAGUAUUGAUAUUUUCACUUACCAAAGCAUUGAGGGCACCUGCUUUAAAAUGAUGAGGGGAACUUUUGUUUUUUUCUCUUGAAAGAUAUAUAAGAUUUGGCAUCCCAUGACCUGUUAUGUCUUUGUCUUUCCCACUUUCUAACAAAACCUACAUCAAGCAAUUUGUUAAGAGGAAAAGUCAUAUAGAUGCUAUUGCCAAAUUAAUCACCAAAUAUUAGGUUUCAAAUGAGAGGUUUACAAUUAAAGGCAAACUACUGAAUUUAUAUAAUCCUACAUAUUUGUGAUACAUAUGAUACCCCAGUCAAAUCACAUAUUGGAAAGUACAGAAAAAAUAUUGGAUGUAUAAAGAAAUAAGCCUAAGACUUCAUUGACGCGUUUUAACGCCAUGUAGGAUUAGGUUUAAAACGACAAUAUCACAAGUGAAUUGAACUGUUACCAUUAUAUGUUUUAAGAAAGAAUUUUUGAAACAAAUGAUAAGUUGCUAUGACAAAUUAACCUGAACAAUAGAAGGGUGAUUAUGACGAGUAAAUCCAGCAAUCGAAAAUUUUGUAAAAUCUUGAAGCUCUUCAUCGUUGUUAAUAUAAUCUUCAUCAACUUUUCCCCUCUCUAUCACAUUUUCUAUCCUUGUCUUCAUGCUUUCGUACAUCAGCUGCACAUAUAAUAUAAUAAUAAAAUAGGGUUCGAAUCUUGUUGGAGAAUAAGUACGAUACUAUUACUUAAUCUUCCAUAUGGUGUGGGGUGGGAAUUAAAUAUGCUCAAAUUAAAAUUAUGUAUGAUAUUACUACAUUAGCAAGAAAAAAAAAACACUUAUUUAAUCUCCUUUUUUUCAAAAAAUUAUAUCACGCGAAUAUGAGGGAAAAGAUUAAUUUCAUAUUUUUAUUAAUAUAAAUUUGUUGAAGAUCCUUUAACAAAAUAGUAAAAAGGGUUCAACCGUAGUAGAUGUAAUAUCGCGAAUACAUGUGCAUGUCUUUGAGAUACAUGCAUCUACUACGAUUGAACCAUGUUUCCAAAUAUCUUAACCAUCGAAUAUCUUAAUCAUGUAUCCGACUUUUUUCUUUUAAUAGUAUCGUAUGUAAUACUAAAAACUAGUAGUUGAAGGAGCAAUUGGACUAUAAAGCCUCUGUCCCAACAAUUAUUGAUAUAGACAAUGAAUAAACUAAAAUAUAUCCUAAAUAAACGUAGUUAGAUCUGGUACGUUAUAACAUAAUAAUUGAUACCAUCUAUUCCCAAUCUCUGCAGAUACAUUAAAUUUAAAUGUAUAUGGCACAUUAAUGUAUUUUUAAAGGAUCUAAAAUAUGUUGGGUAAUAUUUUUAAAGAGUGAAUAACAUAAUUAUGAUUUUGUAAUAUCAAAAAUCAACUACAUAAUCAGUUAAGCUACAUUGAUAAUUUAAUUUUGUUAUAGCAAUAGAUUGUUUGCUUUAUCUCUCAAGUCCAAUAUUUACUAAAUUCCAGUGAAUUGAACUUAAACACUUCAUAUAACAUUAUCUCAUUAGAAUUGAUAACAUAAGGCUUAGCCUCCCUUUGCUUGUAGUUAUUCUCGUUGAGGAUUUUUAUUUUAUUAUUAAUAAACUCUAUAGACAACAGAUUGAAACAACUGAAAAUAAAACUUAAAAAGUUGAAAAAUAAAAUAAAAUACUUACAUACCUUAAUUUUCUGUGUCUCAGAAUUUUCUGUGUAACUCGAACUGAAAUAUGCAUCAGGACACCUUUCAAUUAUAUUAUUUUCCCUAAAAAAUGGCAACCAAUACACAGCAAAUUUUGCAGCUUCCAUAAAAGCAAACAACGUAAGCUCUGAUCCUCCAUCAUCCGAUAAAUAAACUGAAAGUUUUUCGAUAGGAUAAUAAUCAUAUGCCAUAACUGAUAACGCUGUGUUAACAACGUUUAAUGGAGGUUCCUUACAAGGAUCCGCUGUGCAAAUAAAUAUAUCGAGUGCUGGUAAAUUAUUGUUACUAUACUUUUUUAUUUUUUGGGGACAUUGUUUACGCGUGAUAGGACGCAUACGAAACGAUUGAGUAGUUGACCACAUGAAAGCUAAAAUUAAAUCGGAAAGUAUAAUAGAAACAUAUAUGAAGAAAGUGAUAAAGGAAUAAUUAGUGGAGGAAUAUAGAAGUUUUUGUAUGUGGUAGUAGAAAAGAGCAAGGAUGGCAAAAAGGUAAAUAAGUGCAAAUGCACGGUUGAGGAUGAGCUGUAGUGGUUUCACUACGACGGAGUGAAGCGUAGCUCCGCCGUGAACGGUGGUUUCGGUGGCAGCUGUGGUGGCUGUGGUUUCCAUUUCUGUGUGAUAUAUGAAGUGUAUUAUAUUGUGGUGAGAAGCAUUGCUAUUUAUAGCAAAGAUUCCAAGUUAGUUGAGAAAAUUGAAGGAAAGGUGUUUUUAAGUCUUGAAUGAAGGAUUGGUGACAUUGACCAAUAGAUAGAGUCAAACAUCAUUAGGAAACUUGAUUAAAUUAAUUGUGGACUUGAUUAAUAUUUUUAAAACUUUCUAAUCUUUUCAAAAAUACAAAUCAACCCAACCCACACCCCUCUUCAAUCCUAAUCAACCACUCUCUCUCUCCAACUUCUCCCAACCAACAGUUCUGCAAAAUUUCUCCCUUCAACCUCCGGCGACAAAUAGUCGGCGAGUUCCUUUUCGACUUUCAACCGUCAAUCGACGUGAAUACUUCUCCUGCGACAACAACUUCGAGUUCUUCGUCCUCCCAUUUCCUUUUUCACAGGUAAAAAAUUAUGAAGAAACAGAGGAACUUGAGCCAACUACUCUUCUGGUAUUGAAAUGUGGACUGAAUAAAACCCUAAUUUCUGGCAUUUCUGCAUUUCUUCUUCUCGUUGUCGUACUGUUGAUUCGAAUUUGUUGGUGAUUUUUGGUCACAGUUAAUGUUCUUAGUGUGUAUGUGUGUGUGAUAUGUUGGUGUUGCUGGGAUAAUUUGUUGUUUGUCUUGGUAGAAAUGUUAUUGCAACAGUUAAAACAUCUGAUGUAAUAGAUGAAACAUAUGAUGCAAUAGAUGAAAAUCUGAUGCAACAGAUUAAAAAUCUGAUGGCAACUAUGAAAAUCUAAUGCAACAGGUGAACAAUCUAACAGAUCAUUCAUCUGUUGCGACAGACGACUCUUCUAUUUGGAAGAAAUCUAAACAAUAUUGAUCCAACAGAUAACUGAUUAGUGAUCUGUUUUUAUUUUUUCCAAUGGUUUACUCUUCAUUUUAAAAUCUGAUGCAACUAUGAAAAUCUGAUGCAACAGGUGAACAAUCUAAUAGAUCAUUCAUCUGUUGCGACAGGCGACCCUUCUGUUUGAAAGAAAUAUAAACAAUAUUGAUCCAACAGAUAACUGAUUAGUGAUCUAUUUUUAUUCUUUCCAAUGGUUUGCUCUUCAUUUUACAACAGAUUAGGACUGUUUUUAUUUUUUCCAACGAUUUACUCAUACAGGUCGGUUAUCUGUUGCAACAGAUUAGUGAUCCGUUUUUAUUCUUUCCAACGGUUUACUUAUCCGUUGCAAUAGGUCGGUUAUAUGUUGCAACAGAUAAAAUACCUGGUGCAACAGAUUAGUGAUCUAUUUUUAUUAUUUUCACAGGUCAGUUAUGUGUUGCAUCAGAUAAAAUACCAGGUGCAACAGAUAGUGUUGUUUUUAUGGUUCCCACGUAUUACUCAUCCGUUGCAACAGGUCGGUUAUAUGUUGCAACAUAUAAUAUACCUGGUACAACAGAUUAGUUGUCUGUUGGAACUGUUAUAUUACUGUUAUGCAUUAAUCAAUUAUAAUCUACGUUAUGUUCCUGUAAAUUUAAGAUAACAUGGCUCCCAAAAUAAAAGAAAUCGAAUCAAGUCCAAGUAAAGGAACAAGUGCAGCAGCUCAGCUACAACCACUACUCUAGGAGCUUACUUUACAAGCGUUAUUUCAAUCAGGAGAAGAAGAUAAUGAACACGGGGAGAAGAAAUCUUUCAAAAGAGAUGAUCCAAAUGCUAAUAGCCCUUCCGUCGAAGAGGUGGUCAAAACCUUCAGGAUUGAUUGUUACCCUGUGAGAAUACAGUGCGAUGGUGACACAGAUUUAACGGGUGAUCUCGGGGUUAAGUCAGUCAUGGGAAAAUAUUUCGACGCCUUCAGAAAAAUACUUCGAAAACAAAAAUUGGAUUCUUAUUUCAGGGAAAGCUGCUUUGGAAAAUUUCUUGAUUUGUCAGAGGACAACAAUGCUCGUUUUCAGAUAAAAAUGGUAUGUCAUCUUCUCAAGCGCAGGUUUAUGUAUGAAAACAAAGAUAAGAUAGAUGAGGUGUGGAUAAAUUACUGUGGCAUGCCUGUUUAUUUUGGUUGGGAGGAGUUUGCCAUAGUUACCGGACUAAAAUGUUAUGCUCCUUCUCCUUCUCAAGUUAUACCUACUCUGACCCAAAAAAAAGCACCCCGCACACCCAAAAAAGGAAAAGGCAAGUCGAGUGAUCGUGAUGACCUGGUGUUUAUUGUUGGUCCAAGCUUCAAAAAUAAAAAUCUGAUUGAAGCGUUGAAAGGUAAAGGACUUUCAAAGAAGCACAAACAAUCAUUGUGCUUGGUUUGGUUUGUACAUAAUGUUCUUUGAGCGAGAGACGUUAACAAAAACAUAGCCNNNNNNNNNNNNNNNNNNNNNNNNNNNNNNNNNNNNNNNNNNNNNNNNNNNNNNNNNNNNNNNNNNNNNNNNNNNNNNNNNNNNNNNNNNNNNNNNNNNNNNNNNNNNNNNNNNNNNNNNNNNNNNNNNNNNNNNNNNNNNNNNNNNNNNNNNNNNNNNNNNNNNNNNNNNNNNNNNNNNNAUUUUUUAUUCAAUAAUGCUUUUGAUGUAUUGGCGUUAUGUUAUAGGCUUGGGCAUUUGAAGCCAUUCCUUAUUUGAGACAAUAAGUGAACUACCAGGAAGAAGUUUCUUGUCUAAGAAUUCUGAGAUGGUUGUCGGCCAAACCUGAUAAAAAUGCAAAAUUUCUUGAUAUUUUCAAUUCCCCCAAGGAAGCAGUAAGUCCAAUUCUAAUCAAGUUUUUGUUUUAAUUAAUGAUUAAAUGAUUUCAUCAUCAUUCUUAAUAUAUGUACCGAUUUAUUUUAGAUUGUCCAUCUGUGGCUUGUUCCGACCAACCGAGAGUUGAAGAUGCCAUUUUUUCUUACUUUACNNNNNNNNNNNNNNNNNNNNNNNNNNNNNNNNNNNNNNNNNNNNNNNNNNNNNNNNNNNNNNNNNNNNNNNNNNNNNNNNNNNNNNNNNNNNNNNNNNNNNNNNNNNNNNNNNNNNNNNNNNNNNNNNNNNNNNNNNNNNNNNNNNNNNNNNNNNNNNNNNNNNNNNNNNNNNNNNNNNNNNNNNNNNNNNNNNNNNNNNNNNNNNNNNNNNNNNNNNNNNNNNNNNNNNNNNNNNNNNNNNNNNNNNNNNNNNNNNNNNNNNNNNNNNNNNNNNNNNNNNNNNNNNNNNNNNNNNNNNNNNNNNNNNNNNNNNNNNNNNNNNNNNNNNNNNNNNNNNNNNNNNNNNNNNNNNNNNUCAUAUCCAGACACUCCACUAGAGAUCAAGGCGACUAACAGAAGAAGGAAAGAAACUUCCCAAAGGCAUCAUCAAUCAUAUAAAAAAAAGAUUGCAAUGCCUCUGUCUUUGUCUUGCACCGAUGUUCAGUGUGCAAGGGCCACAGAAGAGCAGCAUGAGCUGAAGAAGGUGAAUGUACAUCAUCUGUUUCAAAAAACAAACAAGCACAUAUCUGUUUCAACAGAUGAUACAUCUGUUAAAAAUUAUCAAACAGAUGUAUACAUCUGUUGCAACUAUUGUCUAACCCGUUGCAUCAGAUUCGUUAUUUGUUUCAAUAGAUGAGUCUUAUGUUGCAAUAGAUGGAUCAUCUGUUCGAAAUUAUCGUACUGCUCUGAUUUACCUGUUCGAAUUUAUCCCAACAGAUAAUCCAUCUGAUGCAACAUAAGAAUCAUCUGUUGCAACAGAUAGAUAAUCUGUUGUAUAUCUCUACAAUUCUGGCUUUCUCGGUGGAUGUCAUAGCUACUGCCGAAGAGCAUAAUAUGAGAGUUGAUAAUCCAUCAACUACUUCCAAAGAUGAAAAAAAAGUGAAGCCUAUCAGUUUGGGAGAACGGAAGAAUUACCCAUUUGAAGGGUUCAACAUCUCGAACGAGGCUCCAAAAAAAUUAAUACAGUUGAUCAAGGACUAUUCAGAAUGAAUUUUCGAUGGGCUGUUAAAGCACCAUGCCGGUAGGUACAUAAAUCAAUUUUAUAGAUAUUGGUUUACACAAUUCUUGUUGUAAGAACCUGACAUUAACACAUAUAAAUCAUCAUGUAGAAAACAAAAUGACAAGCACUACAAAAUGAACGAAUCGAGUCUUGAUUUUGAUAUGUUCGACUUUGUUGUUGCACAUCUCAGAAUGAAGAAUUAGUUCUAUUUGAUGUCACAGCCCCAAACUUGCUGGAAUGAUAAGGUUUAAAGGCCAUACAUAUUACUAUUAAUUAAUACUUUAUUUAAUUGCAUCUGCGUAUUAAUUUCUUUGUCACGUAAUCCAAAAUAUUUGAUAAUAUGUGCAGCACAUUGAUGUUAUUUUUUACUACCUUCGAAAGAAGGCCAAGUUGCAAAUACAAGAACAAUACAAAUACACAACAGACAAUUAUUUGUACAAAUUUUACAUCAAUAAUGCCUACGAUAGGUAUUGUCAACAGCAGCCGAAAGUUUCCCAAAAUGAGGAAUGCUUAAUCAACAUCAUCAAAGGUUUUAGCAUUCCGGCGAGCUUACCUUGGCAUUUGCUCGACGAAGUGUACAUCCCAAUCAAUUGUGGUGAUGAAUUCCAUUGGGUGUUGGCUGUCGUCAUUCUAAAAGAGAGGCGCAUCCGAGUUUAUGACUCGAUGUCGCGAAGGAGAUGUUUUGGGCCGUCGUCUGAGAUACAAAAGCUGGCCAAAAUAUUGCCUACUUACCUUGAUAUGAGUGGCUUUUUGGAUCAAAAGGUUCGUACUGAUUGGUCGACGAUUGAAGCAUACUAGGAUAAAAUGGCUAAUCCAUUUGAUGUUCAAUAUGUUGACGGAAUUGCUCAACAAACCAUUGGUAGCUUGUAAGUUUAAGUGUCAUGAUUUAGUUUCAUUUCACAAAUUUCACAACGCUUGCCUGAACUGCAAAACAUGGAUUAUCUAUUUUUUUAUAACCCAGGGAUUGCGGUCCUUUUGUUGCCGCCUAUGCCGAGUAUUUGAGCGAUGGAUUACAAGUACCAAAUGAUGGACUUGAUGCCGGAUUACUCCACAAAAGAUAUGCUGCUCUUUUAUGAAAAUAUGAAAAAUCUAAAGCUCAGAAGCCAUACGCAAUCGACGUUAAAGAUCCACGAUAACCAAAGACGAAUUCCGUAGCACUGGAUGAAGAACAACUUUUCCAUAUUUUAUAGCUUGAGUCCGUCAAUGUGAUAACCUAUCCUCCUUGGUUUAACUUGUUGAUUUAUUUGUAGAGUAGAUCGUUUGUACUCAUAAUAAUUUUUUUUACAUUUCAUUUAUUUGUUGAGUUAUUUUAUUUCAUGUAAUUUUCGAAGGCUUCGAUUCAUUUUAUUUUGUCUAUGAAUAUAAUUAUUUUUAAGUUUUGAACAUGUUUAUUUAAAUGAAGUACUAGAUUCAAAUAUCGCAACAGAUAAUACAUCUGCUGCAACAGAUGACAUAUCUUAUCAGACAGAUUUAGACAUAUGUUGCAACAUGAGAUGCAACACGUAGGUCAUCUGCUGGAAAUUAUAUAAUAGGUCUUCCUUCUUUUUUAAUUUGCUCAAACAGAUUAUCGAUCAGUUACAACAGAUAAGUUAUAUGUUGCAACAGAUCGUAAAUCUGUUGCGACAGAUAGACGGAGAACAUCUGCAUAACGCAACAGAUGACCAACUUAUUCCAAUAGAUAAUCAAUCUGUCACAACAGGUACUAUAUUUGUUAAGACAGAUAUAAAAUCUAUUGCAUUAUAAAAAUUCAACUUUGCCAGACAUAAAAAUUAUUGCCCCUAUAUGUAUAGUGAAUUGGCUUGAAAUGAAAAUUUGUUAUCAUAUUUGUCUCUGUCUUUUUACAUGUUCUUUUUUAUACACGGGCUCCAACCAUUUAGUUAGUACCCCAUAUGCCCAAACCCAUUGCAUUUUUCCCACAUCGGUGUCGCACACACCGGUCAUUUAUGUGUCGGUCAGCAAACACUCCAUGUAUGCAAGCGAGUAUGGUCUGCACGCUGCACCGGUUGUAUUUUUUGGGUGCUGAAUGUUCUUAUUUCGACCUUCAAAAACCCAUGAUUCCUUCACUAAGACUUCAGCUGACAAAUGAUCCAUCACCUUACUCUAUGUCAACAACUUGGGCAACAACUUCAAGAGUGGCUGCAUGUGGGUUAAAAACGUCUUCUCGCUGAACAUAGGUAAGUUGCAGUCAUAAACCUUAAUCUUUCCAUCGUAUAGUAGUAUCUCAAUAGUGAGAAAAUGGGUGACAUCCACGUUCAUGACUACAAGGAUUUUCUUUUCCUUGGUCCAGCUCUUGUCGUGUGAUAUGGCCUCUUCCCUCUAACAUAUUUAAUCGCGUCUUCAUCCCAUUGGAAUGUAGAAACUAACUGAUAAAAUCCUAGGCCACCGGAAUCAGCUAGAAUACGAAGAUCAGCGUACCUAUCUUUGAAAUUAUUGUAGAAGUUGAGGUCCAUUAUCCUAUCCAGCAGCAUCAUAAGCAUCUAGGUACGCUAAUUGUCUGCCCCUCAUGAGGCAGAGAAUUUCAUCAACAUACUGUGGUACAAGAAGAUAAUUUUUAAAUACGUUAGUAAUUGUAAAAAAUAAAAACACAGUGGAAAGAAUCCAAUGUAGAGGGUUCUCUGAAUCAGUUCACAGAUUACCCAGCCAACGCAACUUCUGCAAUAAAUGUGUAUUAUGCUGCAACAGAAUACCAAGCUGUUGCAACAGAUUACACAUCUGCUGCGUAGAUUCUUCUUCAUGGAGUAGAUUGGAAGGGUAGGUUAACAAAAGUAAACUUACCUUGUUCUCGUACCACACGCACGUAUUUGGCUUAUUCGAGAAGUCUUUGGCGGCAAAUGAAUGCAUGGUGUAUUAUUUUUGAACCUUUAUCUUGAUGAAUUCUUCCAGUUCCUUUUUCUUCUCCUUGCCAAGCACCGCAAAUAUGUCCACCUUCUUUGGAGGCCCCUGAACUUCAACAACUAUUGGAGCGGGGGGAGUUACAUAUUUUGUUGAUUUCAGAACAGAGAAAAUUUGUCUAAUUUUUAUUCUCUUCCUCCUAACCUCCACUGUAGAAGUGAAUGGCUCCCUCACCUCAUUGGAUGGUAUGACACCCCUCCUGGAUUUCAACUUUUUGAUAGCUUCAGCAAUAGUCUCUAGCUUGUCGAGUAGUUUAUCAUCUCUUUCCUUGCACACUUUGCAUUUGCAAUGAGAACAUGAGGGUGAGUAUGGGUGAGAGAGACCACUAGAAGGGUGGGAGAGACCGGUGUAAGGGUGAGAGGGAGGACUGUACAUGGCGUGUUUUUAAACAGAUUUAUUUUUUGCGGAGCACCAACAUGCUCAUAAUCACGAUUUGAAGCAGAAGCAGAAGUAGGAUGGCUGCCACCAUCACAAAUAACUCCACCAGCAACACCCCCAGAAGAAGCACCCGGAUCUAUUGCAGUUUGAGUUAGGUCGUGAAGAGCUUCAAAAUUAGACUGGCCUUGCCUAACUGCUCUUCUUAUGGAUGUUGCUCCAUCCAAUUCUUUUUUUAUUAACUCCACCGUUGGGUCUUCUUUUGUAUCAACAAUACCCAGAGUAAGAAAAGAAGCCAUCCCCAACUCAUCAAUGGUAGGCACGAUCCAAGGAUGCACAACCUAUAAAAAAUGAUAGGAGGAAUUUAAAUCAUAUAAUAAUAUUUUGCAGUCAGUUGGGUUACAUGGGGCUUGGAUUAUGUUAACAGAGCCAACUUAUGCAAUAGACGAUCUAGAUAUUGCAACAGCUGAUCUGUAUAUUAAAACAGAUUGAUAAUAUAUUGCAUCAGAAUACCCAUCUGUUGCAUAAUUUACAGUUAAUGGGUAAUCUGUUUAGUAAGGUUUAGAGAAUAGAGCAACAUAUGGUUAAUCUAUUGCGAAAUAUGGAUGGUCUGUUGCAAUAGAUUACCCAUUGCACCAGUUACAGUUGACGGGUAAUCUCUUGUAACAGAUGGAACAUCUGUUUCAAUAUCUUUCUUUGAGGCAAAUUAUUUUAGUUAAAAGAAGACGUACUGCAUCAUCCGGAGGGUUAAAGAGAUAAGCCUCGUUAAUAUUUUUUUUGUUGCUCUCUACUGCAGCCAACCACCUAAGGAUCCUUGGAUGAGAAACCUUAUCCGGAUAAUUUGUGAAAUGCUUUCGGAGGGAAGGAAUGGCUUCAUAUGCCUAAGCCUAAAAAUUGUAAACAGGAAGCAAGCAAAAAAAAGUCACAAGUAUAUUCAAUAUAAAUUAAUGAAUGAGUAAAAAUAGUGAUCAAUUUUACCAUGAAAGCCCAAGGAAAGCCGUAUAAUAUGGUCUUCUUUGGCUUUAGAUCUUUCAGUAAAUAUUUGACAGUCAAGUAGUAGCUAUCGUAGCCCCAGGAAUAAUCGUUGAAUCUCCCAAAAUCAUCAUCAAGUGCAAACAAAUCACGUUCUAUGACUUUCUUGACGUCUCUUGCCAAUAAAAUGGAAUGGACUAACCAAAGUAUGCACAAUUUCUCCCUGUAGUGCUUUGGUAUGUCUUUAUUCUUAAGAUCCGCUAUCAAAUUCUUCACUUUAUAGCUAGGUCCAAUAAUGCCCAACAACCCAUCUUUUUUUACCUUGCGUUUGUUGGACCCUUUAUGGGGUGUUUUCUUGAUGGCAGGUUCUUCUGGAUGAUCGCAUCUCAAGACCGUCACAAUGGCAAACUCUUUCAAUCCAAAACAAACCGGCAUACCACAGUAGUUAAUCCAGACUUCAUCCAUCUUAUUUUCGCCCUCCUUCGGACCUCCAUUAUCCCCCGCAUAUAUGAUCCUGCGCUUCAGAAGGCCAUAUACCAUGAUUAUUGGGAAAUGGAGAGGGCGGGGCCCAGACAGCUCAAGAAAGUGUGCAAAGCAGCUCUUCUUAAAAAGUCCAUCUAUGUUUUCCUUCUUCAUAAUACUCCUAAGUUCGUCAAAAGGUUUCCCCAACUGACAUUUAAGUACAAGAUCACCAAAUACUAAAUUAGGGUUAUUCGAUAUUAUUUCACGCCCCGUUGGUGAGGAGGAGUUAUCACUUUCCUCGGCUUCAUUUUUCCCUGACUGAGAUUGUUCUGGAAGUUUCUCCGAAUCUAUCUGUACUCUAGCCUUUUUUGUUUGGUGAUCGAAAGUUAAUCCACUUUCUAUUUCUUUUCUUUUGGGAGACAUCUUUUAACUACCAACAAAAGAAAAACAAAAAAUACAUUGCAUUUGAUGUCUGCAUAAUUUUUUUAAAAAAGGUGAGACAAAUUUUAAUAAAUUAUUCUUACCACAUAACCAAAAAAAAUACUCCAACGGACAACCCAUCAGUUAGAACACAUGGGGAAACCGAAUCUGUUUGUAGACCUAUUUAAUAUCUCCCCACAGAUAUUCCACCUAUUGCAACAGGUGGAGAAAUUUUAAUAAAUUAUUCUCUGCCACAUUACAAGAAAAUACUCCAAAGGAUAACCCAUCAGUUGGAACAGAUGGGGAAUCUGAUUGAAGACCUAUUUAAUAUCUCCCAAUAGAUCUUCCACCCGUUGCAACAGAUGGACCACCACCACCACAACCAAUGCCACUACCAAUGCCACCAAGACCACCACUAAUUCCACCAAUACCAAUACCAAGACCACCGACACCCGCUAAAAAACAAAAAUACCAACACCACCAAUAACACCACAAACACCAUCCAACAAUACCACGACAGUCAACAAAACAUUGAGAGAAAAACUAGGAUUUUCUCGAGUGCUUCCUACUUUUUUAACAUCAAAACUCAAAAUUUUUAACCCAUUCUUGAAGAUAAUACAACUAAAGGUCUUUUUUUAUCAUUAACUAAAAAACCCUAUUUUCUAGAAUAAAGAACAAAUGUAGAACUCUUCUCGAACUCUGUUACAUGCGAAGAUAGAGAAAACAACAGAUACAAUCGGGAAUGAAGUAAAAAAAACUAUAUGUAGUCGUAAAUGGGAAGAAAAUCGACCUGUAGUAAAGGGUUGAGCAAUAUGUUGAGUAGUUGUUGUUUGUAUUAUUUGUAUUAUUGAGAGGGAGAGGACACCCCAAGAGAGACAGAGAAGAGCGAGAACUUAAGAUUUGAAAUGAAAAGUUUUUUGCGCAAAUGGAUGAUUUGUAUGGGUUGAUUUGUAAUUUUGGAAAAGAAUGACAAGUUUUGAAAUUGCUAAUUUGGUCCGAAUUGAUCUUAAUUAAGUUUAAAAUUUUUAAAAGAUAUAGUUUUUAAAACAUUGAGUUGAUGAGAACUCAUUUCUACUCAGAGUGAUUGAUCAACGACUCGGGUCGAGAUGAAUGCAAUACCAGCGCCAUGUAAUUGUAAAGACUCGAUUGGAUUUAUAGUUGACCCUGCGAGCUCAUCAUUUAUCCCUAGUUCCACCUAAAUCAACUUAGGUACUAUCACUAUCCUAACAUUGAGUUGAUGAGAACUUAUUUCAACUCAGAGUGAUCGAUUGACGACUCAGUUAGGGAUGAAUGCAGUACCAACGCCAUGCAAUUACAAAGACUCAAUUGGAUUUGUAGUUGACCCUGCGAGCUCACUCAUUCAUCCCUAGUUCUACCUAAAUCAAAUUAGGUACUAUCACUAUCCUAACAUUGAGUUGAUGAGAACUCAUUUCAACUUAGAGUGAUUGAUCUACGACUCGGGUCGGGAUGAAUGUAAUACUAAUGUCAUGCAAUUGCAAAGACUCGAUUGGAUUUGUAGUUGACCCUACGAGCUCACUCGUUCAUCCCUAGUUCCACAUAAAUCAACUUAGGUACUAUCACUAUCCUAACAUUGAGUUGAUGAGAACUGAUUUCUACUCAGAGUGAUCGAUCGAUGACUUGGGUCGGGAUGAACGCAAUACCAACACCAUGCAAUUGUAAAGACUCGAUUGGAUUUGUAGUUAACCCUGAGAGCUCACUCAUUCAUCCCUAGUUCCACCUAAAUCAACUUAGGUACUAUCACUAUCCUAACAUUGAGUUGAUGAGAACUGAUUUCUACUCAGAGUGAUCGAUCGACGACUUGGGUCGGUAUAAACGCAAUACCAACGCCAUGCAAUUGCAAAGACUUGAUUGGAUUUGUAGUUGACCCUGCGAGCUCACUCAUUCAUCCCUAGUUCCACCUAAAUCAACUUAGGUAUUAUCACUAUCCUAAAAUUGAGUUGAUGAGAACUCAUUUCAACUCAGAGUGAUCGAUCGACGGCUUGGGUCGGUAUAAAUGCAAUACCAAUGCCAUGCAAUUACAAUGACUCGAUUGGAUUUAUAGUUGACCCUGCGAGCUCACUCAUUCAUCCCUAGUUCCACCUAAAUCAACUUAGGUACUAUCACUAUCCUAAAAUUGAGUUGAUGAGAACUGAUUUCUACUCAGAGUGAUCGAUCGAUGACUCAGGUCGGUAUGAACGCAAUACCAACGCUAUGCAAUUGGAAAAACCCGAUUGGAUUUAUAGUUGACCCAACGUGCUCAUUCAUUCAUCCCUAGUUCCGCCUAAAUUAAUUGCUAUGAAAUUUGUUGCAACAAAGGACCAAGCUGCUGAAAAUUUUCAAACAGGUACAUAUAUAUUGCAACAGAUAACAUAUCUGAUUUAAUUAUCAAAUAGAUAUUUAUAUCUAUUGUGACAGAUGACUGAGCUGUUAGAAAUUUCAAAAAAAUUAUUUAUAUCUGUUGUAACAGAUGACAUAUCUGAUUUUAUUAAUUAUCAAAUGACCAUUUUCUUUUGUUCUCACAGAUGACUGAGCUUUUAGGAUUUUUAAACAAAUAUUUAUAUUUGUUGUAACAGAUGACUGAGCUGUUCGAAUUUUUGAACAGAUAUUUAUAUAUGUUGCAACAGAUGACAUAUCUGUUUAAAAAUCUUUUUAUCUCUUUUAAUUUUAAAGCAAGAAGCUUCUGGUCCAAGUAGAUAAUAUCAAGUAGUAGUACUUACUACUAAAGGCGGUAAAAAAUAUUUCUUGACUAUCUCAAAAGUGAGUUCAUUCAGCAGUCUUGUCUUGUCUUUUCAAUGUCAGUAGUCUUAGUUUUCCUCGUGCCUCUCAAAUUAUUAAUGAAUAUUGAAAACCACCAUGUCUACGUACACAAUAAUCUAUAAAAAUUAUCUCAUCUCUUCCUUCAACUGCAGUUUAUUUUAUUCAACUCUCAUUUUUUUUCUCUCCUCUUUAGGGUCACAACCUUUUUUCUCUCUUUUCUCUUCUCCUCUCAUAAAGAUCUUUUCUGAUCUAAACCCAUCCAUAUCUUUCCUCGACUUAAAUUUCUGUUUUGAUCCCCUUUUUGAUAUUAAUGUAUGGUUCAUUAUUGCUCUUUUAUUCUCAUCUUCUUCUUUGCAUGUUAUUUACAUCUGUUUUUUUAUUUAAUUACUAUUUACCCAUAUCAUAUUCAUUAAAAAAAAUUAAGAAACUUGUAAGUGUUGAAUAAAAAAUUCGAGAAUUUUUAUUACAAUAUGAGAAAAAAGUCAUCUGUUGGGAGAAGUUUAAAAGCCUUGUUGACAGUAUCAUUUUUUUUGUAUGUAUGUUGUUUGUUUCAUUAUUGUUGAUGUAGUUAUUGAUAUUGUUGGUGGGGUUGGCGUUGUUGGAACUUGUGGUGUUGUUGAUGGUUCUGGCAUAAAGGAUGUUGCUUCUUUGUUAUUGAUGAUGUUUGUUGGAACAAAUGUUGUUUCUUUUUUGUUAAUGUUUAUGUUGUUGUUGAUGUUGCAAUAGAUGAAGAAAUUGUUGGAACAAAUAAGACCACUAGAAAGGCUAGUUUGAUGUAUUCCAUCAAACUCCACAUCUGUUGCAACAGACUCCACAUCUGAUGCAACAGAUGGACAAUGUUCUUUUUGUAACAUUAAUUUUUUUCCUCUUCUUUGUAGAUAUAAGGAACUGACAGUUGAUCAACUUUUGACGAACUAUCUUAAGAGGCUGCAAUAAAGAUGGGAUCGAAUGAAUAAGCUGCUUGUAAAUGGAACCACUUCAUAUAUGGGAGGUAUGUAUUACUGAUAAUGUUAUCGUGGAAACACACAUAGAGUGCAUUAAUUUUGUGAAUGAUGUUUUUACUGAUUAGUCAUAGAUCGUUCAAACAAAAUAUUUGCAAUUUUACAGUUAAGCUUGGUAGGUUCGAACUGAUAAGGCUGAGGGACCAUGAAUAUGGUUCUGAUAGCCUGUUAAGAUUUAAUGUCGGUUGUUGCUCAUGUUUAUUUGUCAAGCAUUGUGAAAGGAUCUAAUUUUUGUGUCAAUAUAAAGAGAUUCAAUAGCGAUUGGACUAACUUUUAGGGUGCAUUGGACCCUUAGAGGGCCUUCGAAGCUUAGCACUGCAUCUAAUAAGAACGAAAAAUUAAUAUAUUUAUUGCCCUGGCCAAAAUUUAUAUGGCUGGGUUGCUCGCUUGGGGUGAUGAUUUUAUGCCAGAAUGUGCGGUAGGAGAAUACUUUUGAAGAAAAAUGGUUGGUUAAUGGAAGACUAUAUCAUCUGAGAGAUAAUUGAAGAAGAGACAUAGGGUAGAAAUUAACUUCUAAAGAAUCUGGCCGGUGGAAUUAUCUUAACAGAUGCGAGAUCUGAAUCAAGUGCAAAUAUGAAAGUGUAUCCGGUAAUGUAAUUUCAUCUGUUGUGUCUCUAAAAGAAAAAUAAUACAGAUGGACACUUUGCUAGGGAGCUACGUGGUCGGGAUUAUCACCUAAAUAGAAAAUAGGAGAAGACCAACAAAGAAGCCUUACGGGCAUCGAGGGUAGAAAUGAUGUACAGCAAGUCUAGGAAACUUAUGCCAACAGCAACAGCAGUUAAAAUAAGGAAUCUAAGCGAAAGCGGCAAAUUUCUGAAUUUUAAAUUUCAUCCCAUGCCUUCUUGUUUGUGUUUUUGAUCAGGUCCACUGUCGUUGACCUGAUCGAAACCACAAACGAGAUUGAAAGGCAAAUAGAGUAUCACUGCUUCCUUAGUAAUAUGGUUAUAAUUGAUUGUGUUUUCUUGCCUUGACAUGCAUUCAACAUUCCUUGGAGAAGAUUAGAUACUUGCUAUAGUAUGUGAAUUUUGAGCUUGGAGAAGAUCAGAUGCCUCCAGCUUGUUGAUUCUGUAUUUAAGCUAGUCGUUGCCCUCUUCGAAGUUUGUAAAGAGUUCCUCGUCUCUUGUGAGCUCGAUCAGGAACACUACCUUCAAAGUUGUGGCAUUCUAGAAGCCCUUCAGAACACUUUCUUUAAAAACCUUAAAGAAUACAUGGAGGGUCUCUAUGUUUGUUUUAGGUCAAAAUGUGUUGAUGCACGUUGAAGAUGUGGUCCCAAAAGUUGAACAACACACUUCUAGUGUUGCUCUAUGCAUCUUGCUCAACCAAUUUGAUAAAUUAGUAAGCAUAGAGUUACGUAGCGUGUGAUCUGAACCGGCUCUACCAAGCCUAUCAAACGUUACGUAACUCUAAGCUUAUUACUCUAUCAAAAAAAAUAUGACCGAGUUAGUGCACAAAUCGAACGAGCUCAAUCUCUCAGCCUUUCUGUUGAUUGCUCUUCUCCAAUAUAGAUGACAAGAUAUCUGUUAUGCAAAAGUCUACACCUUCGCCAGACAUGUUCCCAGGCAAUCAUGUCUGGCGAUAGUGUAGACUUUAGCAUAGCAGAUAUCUUGUCAUCUAUAUUGGAGAAAAGUGAUCAGCAGAAAGGCUGACAGAUUGAGCUUUUUUUCUAUGUCCACUAACUCGAGCAUAUUGUUUUGAUAGGGUAAUGAGCUUAGAGUUACGAAACGUUUGAUAGACUUGGUAGAGCCGGUUUAAAUCACAUGCUAUGUAACUCCAUGCUUACUAAUUUAUCAAAUUGGUUGAGCAAAAUGCAUGGAGCAACGCUCGAUAAAAGUGUGUUGUUCAACUGUUAGGACCAUAUCUUCAAUGUGCAUCAACACAUUUUGACCUAAAAUAAACACAGCGACCCUUCAUGUAUCCUUUAUAGCUUCUAAAGAGAAAGUGUUCUGAAAGGCUAGAAUGCCAUAACUUUGAAGGUAGUGUUCUUGAUCGAGCUCACAAGAGAUGAGGAAUUCCUUACCAACUUCGAAGACGGUAAUGAGCAACUUGAAUACAGAAUCAACAAGCUGGAGGCAAGCUUGAAAAUUAUCGGGAUUCACAUACUACAGCAAGCAUCUGAUCUUCUCCAAGGAAUGUUGAAAGCAUGUCAAGGUAAGAAAACACAAUCAAUUAUAACCAUAUUGCUAAGGAAGCAAUGAUACUCUAUUUGCCUUUCAACUUCGUUUGUGGUUCUGAUCAGGUCAACGGCAGUGGACCUGUUCGAAAACACAUACAAGAAGAUGGGAUAAAAUUUAAAAUUUAGAAAUUAUCGUCUACGCUUAGUUUCCUUAUUUUCACUGCAGUUGUUGUUGGCAUAAGUUUUCUAGACUUGCUGAACAUCAUUUCUACCCUCGAUGAUCGUGAGGCUGCUUCUACCUAGGUGAUAAUCCCGACCAUGCAACUCCCUAGCAAAGUGUUCAUCUGCAUUAUUUUUCUUUUAGAGACACAACAGACGAAAUUACAUUACCGGAUAUACUUUCAUAUUUGCACUUGAUUCAGAUUUCGCAUCUAUUAAGAUAAUUCCACCGGCUAGAUUCAUUAGAAGUUACUUUCUACCCUAUGUCUCUUCUUCAAUUAGCUCUCAGAUGAUAUAGUCUUCCAUCAACCACCCAUUUUCCUUCGAAAGCAUUCUUCUACCGCACAUUCUGGCAUAAAAUCAUCACCCCGAGCGAGCAACCCAACCAUAUAAAUUUUGGCCAGGGCAAUAAAUAUAUUGAUUUUUCAUUCUUAUUAGAUACAGUGCUAAGCUUCGAAGGCCCUCUAAGGGUCCAAUGCACCCUAAAAGUUAGUCCAAUCGCUAUUGGUUCUCUGCAGUGACGACAAAUAUUGAUCCCUUCUUAAAACUUGACACGCAUAAACACGAGCACCAACCAUCAGUAAUUCGUAACAGGGUAUCUGCACCAUAUUCAUGAGGUCCUCAGCCUUAUCAAUUUUGAACCCAUCAAACUUAAUGGUACAAUGCAGGAUCUUGUUUGAAUGAUUAAUGCCUAAUAGGUUAAAAACAGCAUGCACAAAAACAUUGUNNNNNNNNNNNNNNNNNNNNNNNNNNNNNNNNNNNNNNNNNNNNNNNNNNNNNNNNNNNNNNNNNNNNNNNNNNNNNNNNNNNNNNNNNNNNNNNNNNNNNNNNNNNNNNNNNNNNNNNNNNNNNNNNNNNNNNNNNNNNNNNNNNNNNNNNNNNNNNNNNNNNNNNNNNNNNNNNNNNNNNNNNNNNNNNNNNNNNNNNNNNNNNNNNNNNNNNNNNNNNNNNNNNNNNNNNNNNNNNNNNNNNNNNNNNNNNNNNNNNNNNNNNNNNNNNNNNNNNNNNNNNNNNNNNNNNNNNNNNNNNNNNNNNNNNNNNNNNNNNNNNNNNNNNNNNNNNNNNNNNNNNNNNNNNNNNNGUGAACUUCAAAGGCAGUUUGAUUGAUGAACUCCGGAGAGAUAUUUGGCUGACUUUGGAGCAAGGCUGCCGGAUGAAUGAAAUAUGUCUGAUUGACAAUAAUAAUAAUAGUAGUAAUAAUAAUUAGGUAAUGUUUUUUAUUUUAGCAAUUAUUUUCCUCCUUUUGUAUAUCAAAUCUACCCAAGGGAUUCAAAAAUCUAUGAACAUUCAUUUCAUUUUGUUGUCGACUUUGAAUUUUUAAUUCUUAUUUAAUAUUUAAUAAUAAUCAUUCUGUUUAUUCCUUGUUCUCAACAUGUCGACUGUUGGUGGUACGGAUUGAGCAGCAAUUUGUGUCAACAGUUAGACGUUAAUAUGCUACGAAAGAUCGAUCAUAUAUUGCACCUGGCGGUUAUUAAUAAAAAAAGGGUUAUUGUUGUUAUUGAGAGGGUGAAAAGAGAAAGACAUGACUCGGAGUUCCGAUUAUUCAAUAUGAAAAAUGUUUCAUAAAUAAAUAAUAAGGAAAUAAAUACUAAACACAAUUUAUAACCACAAUUUUAAUAACUGAUCGUGACUUUUCACCAUUUUUAUUUUUGAAUUUGUUUUUUGUCUUUUAUAUUCUCAACAAACAUUUCGACGAUUAGACAUAAAAAGGAAUAAUUUAGAAUCCAGUAGCAAUAGCAACAUUUAUCUGUUGGGUUUGUGGCAGGGAUUGAUUUGUGUUGUUUGAAACAGAUUAAUCAUUCGUUGCAAUAGAUAAUUAGUCUGGUGCAACAGAUAAACAUUCUGAUGCAACAGAUAGUUAGUCUGGUGCAACAGAUAAACAUCCUGGUACAACAGAUAAUACGUCUGAUGCAACAGAUAAUAUGAUGAUGCAACAGAUAAAUAGUCUGAUGCAACAGAUUACUCAUUUGAUGCACCAGAUGAUUGAUCUGUUUAAAUUGUGAGCACUUGUACUGGAUUGAUAAUUGGGGUUCUAUCCAUUGUUGGAAAAACAGAAGUGUACCCAGAUGACAAAUACGAAUAAAAAUCAUAAUUUUACUUACCAAAGUAACCUAUGAAGUAAUGUCAAAGUGGAAAGUGAUGUAGUAAACAAAAUGACCUAAGAAAUUGGUCAGAUCGCAGCAGUAGCGCUAUACCAACAACAACAACAACAAAUGGUCGACAAGAAGAAGAUGAAACAGAAGAUGAUGAAUAAAGCAGCAGAAACAGAAACAAUUAACAACAAAAAUCGCAAAGAGAGAGAAAACAACAAUGGAUGAGAAGAGAGAGAAACACACCUUUUUUCCUCCGUUUUUCGUUAUUUUAGGUAUAUAUUGGGAUCAAAAUGUAAAUUUAAAAACUUAUGGGUUAUUUUAAAACUUUCCCAACUUUCUUAAUACAUAAUAAAGUAAUUGUCACCUCCAACUAAUAAUUAAGACUUGUGUCGGCUAAACCUCAUUUUAAAACUCUUUUGUCACCUGUGACCCAAUCCCCUAAGUUACUUUAUAGUUGGUGUGCGGAGAAAAGCUUCUAAGUCGGAUUGGAUUGGUUAUUUUUAAACUAGGUUUUUAUUUAUAUACCCUUUCGAAGAGAAAAAAAGAGUUAGCGGUUUAAAAAUAGCUAAAGUAUUUUAAUUUUUUAGUUUUAUUCCUAAACUAUCUAAGUACGUGAGUUUUCUGCAUGAACUAUCAUUAAUUAAUUAGAAAAACACACAUAAAGUAUUAAUGACUCAUUUUUUCUACCUGAAAGCUCAGAUAUGAAAUUCAAAUAAUUAAUAAUUUAAGUAUCUUUUGCUAAUAAUUAAUGAUAAUUCAGGUUGGAAAUUCAUACAUACAAAAGUUUAGAUAUAAAAUCCAAAACUGAAAUAUUUUAGGUGUAUUUUUUCCCCUUCGCUCUAAAAACAAAAAGUGUAGUAGUAUAGUUAUUUAGUAAAUCUAGGUUGAUUUGUAAAAAAUUAGGUGAUUUUUUAUUUUUUUUUUGUAUUUGAUAGAGAAUAAAAAAAAAUUAUCUUAAAAAAAAAAUAUUAUCUUAAAGUUAUUUUAUGUAAUUUAGACAAUAAGACAAAUAUAGUAGAGGGUAAGGGUUGACUAGGUAUGGAAAAAAUAACAGUAAAUGUCGUUAGUUAAAAGUAGUUUUACAAAUAUCUAUAUAUAUUAUAAAGCAGAGGACGAAGCAUUAUAAUUAGCCAAGUGGUACCAUAAAAUCUUUCAAGUGUACAGAUUUAGAUUAAGACUAACAAUAUUGUAAUAAAAAUUUUAAAUUAAAAGAUUAAAAAUAUUUGAAUUUGAAAGUAUUAAAUUUUUUUUAAAAAAAAUUAUCAUUAACUUGAAAUUAGGAACUGAAAAGUUAUAAAUGAACUCUUGCUUAGCAUUUGCAAUAGCUACGGUAAGAACAACAACAAUAACAUCUAUUUACAAUUAUAAUUAUGUAUAUAUUUAAAUAAAUAUUGAUUUAUAGUGUGGAUCCAAACCCCCUGCUUCCAAUUGUUUUAAAGUUUUUAAUAGAAUUUAUAUUUUCAAAUGGUAAUUAUCUUUUAUUAAAAAAAAAAUAUUUUUUAACAAACAAAUAAAGGAAAAGAAGAUAAAAGAAACAAAAUAGAAAAAAGUUUAGAAAAACUCUAUAUAAUAAUAAUAAUAAUAAUAAUAAUAAUAUUUUAAAAAGGCAAAAUGACCUCCUGGACCCCUCUACUAUGUCGGUUUUGUAAGUUGGACACUUCUACUUACAUGUUUGUUAUCUGGACUCCUGAACCUACUAAAAAGCAACAUUUUAAACCCUUUUUUGGUAAGUAUAACACACUCUCUCCAACGUCAGCCGUCACAUCAUCUGCCACGUCAUUUAAAAAAAUAAAAAAAUAGAAAAAGCAUUACAUUAAAUUCCAAGUCAUUUUAAAAAUGUUACAUAACAAACUAAAUAUUAAAAUUAAUUUAAUGAAAUAAGAAAAAUUUAUAAAUUGUACAAAAAUUUGAAUAAUCAUGCUGUUAAAAUUUGAAAAAUUUGAAUAAUCAUUUUUAAAAUAAAAAAAGUAUUACAUUAAAAUUAAUUUAAUAUUAAAAUUAAUUAAAUUAAUUAAAUUAAAUUUUAAAUUACAAUUAGUAAAAAAUUAAUUAAUUAAAAUUCUUAACUAACUAAUUAAUUAAUUUAAAUUAAUUAAUUUAUCAAAUUUAAAAUUCUUACCUAAUUUAAAUAAAUUUUACUUAAAUAAUUAAUUAAUUUAAAUAUGAUUUACAUAUUUAAAAUAUUUAAUUUAAAUUAAUUGUGGGGGGUUAUAGUAUCUCCCCUUUGGGGUUAUUUGUCCCCUAGUAAAAACUUACUAAGUUGAGAGGUUACGGAAAGCGAGGCAAUCCCAACAUUGACUCUUUAAGUUCUGAAUACUAAUAUUAUUCUAAGUUUAUAACAAUACCUGGACUGAACUUAACUUGGGAAUAAUUGGUAUGACAUGAGAGUAACUAGGUGACAUGAAAUAGAAAGAAUGAAAUAAGAAAAGCUAUUACCUCAAGCUGGAAUGAAAUUUGAAGAAAAAUGAUGGUGUACUUGGUCAUCAUAUUUGUCUGCUUCCCAAGUAGCUCCCUCAGCUGACUAAGUUCACUGAAGAACCUUCACCAAAAUGACCUUUUUACUUCUUUAAAAUGAUUUUUUAAUUUUAAAAAUAUUUUUAAAUUAUUUUAAAAAUAUUUUUAAAUUAAAAAGGAUGGAGGGAAAAAAGGAUCCUUUUUAAAUUUUUGUUAAAUUUUAAAAAUAUUUUAAAAUUUUUAAAAUAUUUUUACAUUUAAAAAGAUAGUGGGAAAAAAAGGACCCUUUUUAAUUUUUUUUUUAAAUUUUAAUUAUUUAAAUGUAAAAUUGGCCAAAAUUUGACCCCACACGCACCCUAGGCGAGUGGUUACACUCUCUUUGUUCUAGUCAUCAUGACUUUGCCACAUAGGCAAGGUCAACGGUCAAAGGGUGCGAAAUAUUGCUUUUUGAUGGGUUCAAGGGUCUAGAUGACAAACAUGUAAGUAGAAGUGUCCAACUUACAAAACUGACAGAGUAGAGGAGUCCAGAAGAUCAUUUUGCCUUUAAAAAAUGACCUACACGGCACUUACCCCUUAUGUGAUAAUCCUCUUUAGGAUCAUUCUUAUUAGCAAUUAUAAGAUUUUUCUCCUUUAUUUUCUAAAUUUAUAUUUAUCCAAAUCAAUAUCCUAAUUAAUUAAUUUUUUGAAUUCAAAUUUAAAUAAAUUUGAGUUGAAUAAAUUUCUAACUGCUUAACUUCUCCUAUAUAUACUUCUAUAAUAAUAUAUAUUGCUAAACUUUCUUCUCCUUCUUUUUUAGUUAUUUUAUAUUGAUCAUCAAAUUUCUUCAUGAAUUAAUUUACUCCAUUUUUCAUAUUCUUCACUUUUUGGUUUUUUUAUUUUGUUUUAACAUUUUUAAUUUUUAUAUGCAGAUGAGUGAUGAUGAAUUGCAUGCUAAUCUAUUUUUCUAUUAUAUCCAAGUCUGAAUUCAAGUAAGUAAUAUUCUAAAGCAAACAUACUCGACUAUAUAAAUAAAAACUUUUCACUAAAAAUUUUAGUUAGAUUGAUAAGUCUGUGGUGGUGUGGGUUUAAAAAUUUGAUGCAGUGGAUUGGUGGGUUGGGAUUUAGGGGGAGGGAGAGGAAAGGUUAACAAUCUAAUAUCUUUAUAUUGUGAAUAAUAAUAAAAAAAAUGAAACAUAACUUUUUUAUUAUAAUUACAUAAUUAUUUUUCUAUAAAGAUUUAGUUAGAGAUAGGGGAUUGGGGGUAGAAAAAAGUUUUUAUUUUUAUUUUUUUAAAACUAUAUUUGUAAAAAUAAAUAUAAAUUUAUUUUUAAAAUUAUAUUAUUAUUUUUUCUAUAUAUAUUUGGUUAGAGGUUUGGGAUUGGAUGGGGAGGGAUGGGGUGAGGGAGGUGGAUGCGUGUGAUGGUGGGGAGGGGGUAGUUUUUAUUUUUAUUUUUUUAAAAUUGAGGAAGCAGGAGGGGUGUGGAAAUGAAGGUGGAGUAGGGUUUUUUUUUUCACAUUCAUUGAGAAAUAAUGUGAAAUAAUUUUACCAUGCUUAAACGAGGCAUUCUAAUAUAAAAUAAUUAAAAAUAAUUUUUAAUAUUAUCCGUGCAUCGCACGGGUACGUAUACUAAUAGUACUUAUAAGGUAAGAGUUGGAACAACAUACGUUGUCAGAUACUAAAUUUAUCUUUUCAGCAGUAUUUCUCUAUUUCCACAUAGAGAACUAUGAUUGAAUCCUAUGCUAAAAAGAUGAUGAGAAGAGUCGAAUGAGGAAUAAAAUUAUUAUUAAUGUUCUUUGAUGAAAUUUUAUGAUCAAAUAAAUUUUAUGAUCAAAUUUUAUGCCCACUGGAUUAGUAUGAAACAGGCCCUUUAUUUCACUAGCAUAAAUAUCUACCUCAUUGAGCCCAUGAAAACGUUGAGGAAAUUGAACGUAGGCUAAUUUGGGCCAUAGUGUCUGGUCCAAGAAGUAACAUAAAGCCCGCUGAGGUGUCGAUGGAUCAUUGGAGUACAUGUCACAGUCCAAUGUCAAUAUUAUUGGUGCAUUUGUCAUGAUUCCCGAUACUCGAAGCUAUCACAAAAAGAAAUAAAUCAUAACAAGUAUAAAAAAGUGGAGUUCGAGGAGGGUAAGUGUGCACAAACACUGAGGUAAAGAGAUUGUUUUCGAUAUACACUCUGCUCGAUCAAGACAAAAACAGUAUAGAGAAAAACUUAAUGGAAGUAUUGAUAUUUUUACUUACCAAAGCAUUGAGGGCACCUGCUUUAAAAUGAUGAGGGGAACUUUUGUUUUUUUCUCUUGAAAGAUAUAUAAGAUUUGGCAUCCCAUGACCUGUUAUGUCUUUGUCUUUCCCACUUUCUAACAAAACCUACACCAAGCAAUUUGUUAAAAGGAAAAGUCAAAUAGAUGAUACCGCCAAAUUAAUCACCAAAUAUUAGGUUUGAAAUGAGAGGUUUACAAUUAAAGGCAAAUUAGAAUCUGUGGCAACAUAUAUGUGUUGAGGAUUUUGUACUAAUUUGCUGUACUUUUUAUAGUAAUAGUUCAGAAACUUUUUAAAUGUAUAUAUUCAUAUAUAUUAAGGUUGUUCCCAUAGUAAUUGUUACAAUUUUAGACAAAGUCCACAUCAGUAAAUAGUAGAGAGAUGUUGAUUAUACAUAUAUAGAGAAACAAGUCUUAAAUGUUGUGACACAUUUUGAAGUCGUGAGAACCUAGUGGUCAAAUAGACAAUAUCACAAGUGAGCCAAACUGUUGCCAAAGAAUUUUUAAAACAAAUGAUAAGUUGCUAUGGCAAAUUAACCUGAAUAAUAGAAGGAUGAUUAUGACGAGUGAAUCCAGCAGUCCAAAAUUUUGUAAAUGCUUGAAGCUCUUUGUCGUUGUUGAUAUAAUCUUCAUCAACUCUUCCCCUCUCUAUCACAUUUUCUAUCCUUGUCUUCAUGCUUUCAUACAUCAACUGCACAUAUAAUAUAAUUAAAUAAAGUUCGAAUUAUGUUGGAGGAUAAGAACAACAACAACAAUAACAACAUACUCAAUGUAUUUUCAUCAAGUGGGGUCUGGGGAGGGUAAAGUGUACACAGUCCGUCCCACUACCUCAGAUGAAGUAGAGAGGUUGUUUCCGAUAUAUAUACCUUCGACUCAGAACAGAUACCCAAUAUAACAAACAAAACACAUAAAAGCAUGCAACCACAAGGUAAUACUAUAAUAACAAAUAGUAUAGGAUAAUAACAAAAAUAAGUCUCACACAAGGUAAUACUAAAAAAAUCUAUUAAAAAAACAUAGAUAUCACCAAUACACCGCAAACGUACUCCUAUCCACUAAUCCUCUACACUAAUUCGCGUCCUUCACACCUUCAUAUCAAGUGUCAUGUCCUCUGUAAGUUGUAACUACUCCAUGUCAUGUCUAAUCACCUCCCUCUAAAUACUUCUUACGCCUACCUCUACCCCUCCUAAAACCAUCCAUAGCCAGCCUCUCGCACCUCCGUACAGGAGCAUCCGUGUCACUACUUAUCACAUGCCCGAACCAUCGCAACCUCACUUCCCGUAUCUUGUCCUCCACCAAAGUCACUCUCAUCUUCUUCCGGAUAAUCUCAUUUCUAACCCUAUCCCUCCUGAUAAGUCCACACACACUUAUUUUAUCGCUUUUUUUUCAAAAAUUAUAUCACGCAAAUAUGAGGGAAAAGAUUAAUUUCAUACUUUUAUUGUAAUAUAUAAAUUGUUGAAGCUCCUUUAACAAAACAGUGUAAUGAAGUAGUAAAAAAGGUUCAAAUAUCUAAAAUUGUUUUAAGUUACCAUCCAAAUUUUAGACGUCAAAUUCCAGUACAGUCUAAUUAAUAUUCCUAGUAGGGUGCACCAACAAAUAGUUACUACUAGGAUGUAUGACAAUAUUAUUGGCUAUUGAAGUUUAUUAGUCCAACAUAUUAUAGCAAAACAUUAAGCAUGACACAUGCAGCAUAUAGUUAAUUAUUUUACGACUUUUAAACGAACUAUGACAUAUUAAAGAAAAUAUCUGUUGUUUUGUCUUAGCUAUAACGUCAGAAGGAUUGAAUUCAAAAACAAAAUGACAAAUAAAUAUAAAUAAUAAAUUAUAUUCAGAUAAUAACUGAUGAAAUCAACUCAGGCCAGAUACUAGUCAAUCAAAUUCUGCAACUUGCUUAUCCUACUGCCAUACAAAAACUAGCCACUUCCCGUCUCUUUCGAGAGUUAAUUUAAUUAAUUUAUGAAAAAAUUUAUUAUUUUAAUAAUUUUCAUAUAAUUUUUAAAUAUAUUAUAAAUUUUAAUUUUAAAAUAUUAAAUUCAAUUUCACUUCAAAAAUUAAUUAAAUUAACUUUGAAGCAAACAUGAAAAGCCACAUAUAUUAUUAUAAAUAAAUGUGAUGAAGGGUAUAUACUCCACCAACGUCCCAUAAAAGACCAUAUAAUUUAAAGAAAAAACUAUCUAAAUAAUCCAACAAUCAUUACCAUAUCAAUAUAUAUUCUUUCACUACUUUAAAUUAAUUACAUAAUAUUUUACUUCUUAAUAAUUUACCCUAGAUACAGAGGAGGAGCCGGCCCUCUUUAGGGGUUCGUCCAAACCCUUUUCGACGAAAAAAUAUACUAUUUAUACAUGAUUAAAAUUAUUUUUAUGUGGUUAUAGUAGAUGUUACAUCCCCUUCAAUUUAAUUUUCUUUGAAUAUUAAAUCCCCUUGAAAUCCUAGCUCCACCUCCAUCUAGAUACAUGUUGUAGCACCCGGAUACAUGCAAAUACAUGCAACCUAGCCGUAAGAUGUCUAUGAGAUACAUGCAUCUACAAUGAUUGAACCAUAUAUCCAAAUAUUUUAACCAUCGAAUGUCUUAAUCAUGUAUCCAACUUUUUUCUUUUAAUAGUAUCAUAUGUAAUAUUAAAAACUAGUAGUUGAAGGAGCAAUUGGACUAUAAAGCCUCUAUGUCCCUUCAAUGAUUGAUAUAGACAAUGAAUAAACCAAAAAUAUAUCAUAAAUAAACGUAGUCAGAUCUGGCACGGCUAUUUUUUUUUUUCGAUUCAGUGUUCGGUAUCCGCAUGCAUUGGAGUCUGACUAAUCCAAAUUCGCACCGGGUAGGGCCCCAUUCGAGAGAUAGCGCUCCCUACCAAGGAUUUUUUCAUACCCAGUACUCGAACCCGAGACCUCUGGUUAAGGGAGGAGCAACCUCAUUCACUGCACCACAUCCUUUGGUGGUAGCACGGAUAUAAUAUAAUAAUGGAUACUAUCUAUUCCCUAUCCCUGCAGAAAUAACAGUACCAAAUCUUGAAUCAUGUGGAGCUAUCUUCUGCUAUGUUGCUCGAACACAUGCAGGAUAAUAUUUUUAAAGAGUAUGGAUAUAUAAUCGCGAUUUUUUAAUAUCUCGAAAAUUAACUAAAUAAUCAGUUGAACUAUGUUGUAAUUCAAUUUGAUGCAGUAACAGAUAGUUUGCUUUAUUUUACAGGUUCUAUAUAUUUUUACAAAAAUUAAAUGCUUUAUAGAUUGUUACCUAGUUAAGAUCGAUAAGUUACGACUUAGCUUUCUUUGUUUGUAGUUCUCAUGGAAAACAGAUUGAAACAACUUAAAAAGUUGAAUUACAUACCUUAAUUUUCUCUAUCUCAGAAUUUUUUGAGUAACUCGAACUGAAAUAUGCAUCAGGACACCUUUCAAUUAUAUUAUUUUCCCUACAAAAAGGCAACCAAUACACAGCAAAUUUUGCAGCUUCCAUAAAAGCAAACAACGUAAGCUCUGAUCCUCCAUCGUCCGAUACAUAAACUGAAAGUUUUUCGAUAGGAUAAUAAUCAUACGCCAUAACUGAUAACGCUGUGUUAACGACGUUUAACGGGGGUUCCUUAUAAGGAUCCGCUGUGCAAAUAAAUAUAUCGAGUGCUGGUAAAUGAUUGUUACUAUACUUUUUUAUUUUUUCGGGUAAUUGUUUACGUGUGAUAGGACGCAUACGAAACGAUUGAGUGGUUGACCACAUGAAGGCUAAGAUUAAAUCGGAAAUUAUAAUAGAAAUAUAUAUGAAGAAAGUGAUAAAGGAAUAAUUAGUACUGGAAUAUAGAAGUUUGUGUAUGUGGUAGUAGAAAAGAGCUAGGAUGGCAAAAAGGUAAAUAAGUGCAAAUGCACGGUUGAGGAUGAGCUGUAGUGGCUUCACUUCGACGGAGUGAAGCGUAGCGCCGCCGUCAGCGGUGGUUCCGGUGGCGGCUGUGGUUUCCAUUUCUGUGUGAUAUAUGGAGCUAGUGAUAUACUGUGAUGAGAAGCAUUGCUAUUUAUAGCAAAUAUUCCAAGCUUUUUGAAAUUAAUUUAGAAAAAAAAUAAUUAACGCUAAGGGUAAAGUAUAAAAAAAUUUAUUUUUUUUCGAUAUGUCAAAAAUGACAAGUAAAAUUAGAAAUUCAAUUAGGAAACUAAUGACACGUAAAAAUAAACGGAGGGAGUAGUUGGUGUGUCGAGAAAAAGCUUCGAGUUGGAUUGAGUCGGUUAUUUUUAAACUAGGCUUUCAUUUUAGUUUAAAUAAAACUUUUUAGGGGGUCGUUGGUAGGAGGGAUAAGGGAUAACUAAUCUCGAGAUUAAUUUUAGGAAGAACUUAUCUCAUGUUUGAUUGGGAUAAAAUGUAUGGGACUUAAAUUAAUUAUUUCAAAAUUGUAGUGUUAUUAUUUGCAAAAGAUUAUUGGUCAAUUAUUUAGCAAAUCCAGGUUGAUUUGUUUAAAAAUAAUUGGUGAUGAGACUCUGUAUUGCUGUAUAUUAUCUCGAUAAGAACAUUAUUAUGUUUUGUCACAAUACAUUAAGCAAAAUGGAAUAAUUCAAGCUGUCGAGUGUUGACUGUCUCUUUUUAUAUUAUUUUGGAAGUACACAUCAUUUGCUGAUAGUCCAAUUCAUUUUGGAUGUCUUUGGUACGGCCAAAAAUAUUUUUUAUGAAAAAUGCUUUUAAAUAUUUAUCAAAGAGUUAGAGAACUAUGAUUGAAUCAUAUGCUAAAAAGAUGACGAGAAGAGUGGAAUGAGAGAUAAAAUUAUUAGUGAUGUUAUCUGAUGAAAUUUCAUGAUCAAACAAAUAUUUAAUGAUACAAGCGUUGAUUCAAAUACACUUAAAUAUAAGGAAUGACAACAUUAAUACUCUACAAGAACAAUAUCAAAAAGUCCCAAAGUACAAAAAUAAAUAAAUAAAUAAAUAAAUAAAUACUUUCCUAUUAAACAUUUCUUAGAAGAAAACCAAAUGACAUACAGAGAAUACUAGCAAGAAAUGUGGAGAAAAUUGUGACCUUUGUUGGCAUUCUUCCUUUAUCACUUCUCAAAAUCAUACCUUCAUAAAUUGGCAAACAAUUUAUCACAACAAAGCAAGCAAUAAACAUUUGGAUAAAUAGACCAUCCAAAUCUUGAUCACCCUUGAAAAUUUGUGCUAUUGAUGUGAGGAAUGCUACUAAAUUGAUAAUUGAAGUAGUUGCUAGUGCAACGAACAUUGGCGAAACAACUCCAAACUCGAAAAUUCCUUGAUGGUACCUUUUACCUUGGUCAUCAUCGACUACUUUGCUUGUAACGUUGAACCCUAGCGUUGAUAUGCCGAAGCGAUUAGUUAAAUACUCAAUUGUUCCAAAUAGCAAAGAUGUUAAUCCCCUUAUCAUCCACAUUCUUUGAUCACUCCACCACCUUUUCCAUGUCCCUUCACAAGACAUAAAAACCAAACAAUGUUGUCCGUAUGCUCCUAGGAACAAAAAUACGUACAAGAAAAACCAAGGAUCUGAAACCUGAAAUCAAUAUAAAAACAAAAGUGACUUUUAAGAUAUCAUAUGUUAAUGUCUAUAAGUGACAAAUUUACCACAAGUAUGAACCAAAAAUGUUAUUAUCUCAUUAUAAUAUUUAGACUAAUGAAAAAGAAAAACUACAUAUACCUUUGGAAAGAUGGAAACCCCAUUGAGUAGAGUAAGUUGAGGGAUGAAGGCAUAUAGAGUAAUUGGUAUACACCAAGUGGGCCAAAAUGCAUAUCUAGCAUAACAAUGGGCCAUAAGAAAGCCCAUGGACCUAACCCCAAAAGUCAAUGGGCUAUAUUUUGAGAAAACAACUUCAUGAAGGCCCACACACCAUCUCUUGUGUUGGCUUAGCACAUCAUAGAGAGAAAUAGGUAUAUCUCCUAAAAAUGCAGGCCUUUUAGGAUGGCAAAAUACAGAUUUCCAUCCUUCACAUUGAAGUCUAUAACCUGUAUAUAAAUCUUCCACUAAUGAUCCAUACCUGAAGCCCAUCUGCAAAAUUGUGAAAUCGUUAGUCCGCCAAAUUUAUUGUUGUGUCGCUGGUAUACGUAGAUUAUACAUGGUUAUAUACAUAUUGUUUUGUCCUUCAUUGAAAGUGACAAAAUCGCCUUUUCCCUAUUUUUUAUUCUAAUAUUUAAAAGUUGAAAAUAAAUUACAUAUAUUUAUGAUAAACCUUUUCUUUUUAGAUUUCAUCAGAAUUAAUGACAACUAAUACUUUUUUCAUUAGUUUCAGAAUUCUAAAUCAACUAAAAUUGAUUUUAGAAAGAUUUAAGGUGUAUAAAUCUACUUCUUUAUCUAGGUAUAUUAAAUCCAUUAAAUUUCUGGUAGUAAAAUAUAAAAUAUUUGUUUUGAACUUUUUACACUUUGUUAACAACCUUCUUAAAAGAUAAAAUCGAACUAGUUCAUAAAAAAGUUACCAAGGACUUAUUAAGAUGGAGGUAAAGCUCACCUUGGAACCCCAAUUACUUUCAUCCUCAUAGUUGCAACUUGCUACAUAAUGGGCUUGCUGUAAGAUUUCCUCGGCCCGAAUGGGCUUAUUCGCAACAUGAUCCGGGUAAAGUUCUUGAAUUUCGGGCUUCUCGAACGAAGAUGGACAGCCGAAAAGAGCCCGACGACGAAAGAAGCAUCCAGUUCCAACAUAAUUGGGCCCACGAAGCCCAUCCAUGCCCAUUGAAUUAGUAUGAAACAAGUCUUUUAUCUCACUAGCAUAAAUAUCUGCCUCAUUGAGCCCACGAAAACAUUGAGGAAAUUGAACGAAGGCUAAUUCGGGCCAUA
rnacentral:lncRNA from 1 species